rnacentral:rRNA from 1 species
UACAGAGGUCUCAAGCGUUGUUCGGAUUCAUUGGGCGUAAAGGGUGCGUAGGCGGCGCGGUAAGUCGGGUGUGAAAUCUUGGAGCUUAACUCCGAAACUGCAUUCGAUACUGCCGUGCUUGAGGACUGGAGAGGAGACUGGAAUUUACGGUGUAGCGGUGAAAUGCGUAGAUAUCGUAAGGAAGACCAGUGGCGAAGGCGGGUCUCUGGACAGUUCCUGACGCUGAGGCACGAAGGUCAGGGGAGCAAACGGGAUUAG